CUCAGCUCCAAUGCACAAGCAGAAGUGCUGAAUUCACAAGGGAGCAGGCAGCAGGGGAUAUAUCGGCACCAUUUUUUCCUGUAAUAUCCAAUUCCUCAAUGACACAGUCAGCACCUCUAUUAGAAACAGCAGGAACAGCUGAAUUUUCAAAAAUGCAAAAGCACAAAUGGAGUAAUUUUGCAGUCUCAAUGAAUGAAUUAGAAAAUGGAAUCCAGUUCUCAUUAACCUUCCCCAGUACUUUGCUCAUUUAUGAAAACAAAAAAUGCAGUCAAACCUGUAAAGCAAAAAAAAAGGGGGGGGGGCUUUUUCCCCCCCUUGGGACAUGGAUUUAUUGCAAGAAUGUUACAAUACAGCUUCAAUGACAGUUCCUGCUAUAAUGGGGCAUCUGCUUAACUAGCUUGUCUCUAGCUUGUCGACUCCUGAAUUUGUAUCCCAACAAACCAGGGCAGUCCAACAAAAUAAAAUAGGCAAAAGUAUAUUUCAGUGUUUUUACCCUCAAAGCAGUAAUGAUCCAAAUACGUGCCUGAUGCUUCAUUCUUAGGUAUAGCCACUCUCUUUUCAUUCUAUGUUUAUGCAGUACUUAAAACAAGCGGGCUUUGGCCUAUUACUAGAGCGCCAAGAUAUUUCAAUUCUCACUGAAAUCAAUAGGGAUUGAUGAUGUUCAACAACUUUUAAAGACUAAGUCCUAAUUGGUUAAUCAUGAUUUGAGGGAACGUCAGAAAAAAGGAGUCAGAAAAGGAGGCUAAGCAAAUAUGAUUAUAGAGAUAACAGGAACAGUUCUAUCACCUGCAAUAACACUGACGGCCUAAGAAAACAAGCCUAUUAGUAAGAAAAUCUGUAGUUUAAAAAAGUUGCCGAAUAAGCCCAUUAACAUCUGGCUGGAAAUAUAAAAUAGAUGGUGCAGCAGAAGUAUGCUCUAUUCUUAUACUGAAGGCUAAAAAACAGUUUCCCAACACACACACACACACACACGCGCACACACACACACACCGCCUUACAAAGAGAAAUGGCACUGACGUAGGUGACAUUAGGUAGCAACUGAAGCAUGUAACUUGAGGGGAACCAACAAACCAGAGCAGUAAGCAGCAUACUGUAUUAUUUUUGCUAGAGUGGGAUACAAACCCCGCCCCCCCCCCCGAAAGCUGAAGCACCAUUGGAGAUCCAGAAAGAGUAGCUUGUGAUUGAGCACAGAUGUUACUUGUUAGCAGCAAGCUGCAUGAUGCAGCUGGCAUGAACACUGUAUUGCCUCCCACCAGUUAAGCUCAUAUUUAUUUCCCAAAGAUAUUCAGAAUCGAAGAUGCAGGUAAAUGUCCCAUGUUCAAAUAACUCAUACGAGCACUUCACAGGAGUUUCAACAUAAUAAAGCAGUAUGAUGAGUGUCAGAAUAGCAUGAUUAGCAGCACUACAAGUAUUUUAUUGUGCAUGACCUUGCUAGGCCCGAUCCAAAAUUCAAUGGAAGCAUGAGCACUGCAUUAUGUCUGUUAUGGAUUAGGCAGGUCUAAUGCUUUCUGUUUUGUUUCGGGUAGCCACAAAAAUGGAGCAAUGAGGCACUUUUCUUUACAUUGCCGCUUUCUCUUUUAGUUAGGUCCAUUAUGUGGCCAUAGAUAGGAGUAACAAUUACCUCUAGUAAGUAGCCGCUUACUCCUUUUUUCAUUUGAGUAAGGGUUGCUCAAUCUGUGCCUCUGGUAAGGACUGCUUAGCCAGAACGUUCAUCUGUAAGCAUGUAGGUAUAAGAAUGGAAAGUGAAAAGAGCCCUCAUUUUGUUCUCUCUUCCUUUUUGCCCAUUGAUGCAACUGACCCACGUUCUCUGUAAAAGCACCAGUCCCAAGAAUAAAUGAGGAAUUGUGACUGAUUUACAAUUAGACUCUGCUGCUUCUGCCUGGGGUAUGUUUGUAGAGUCAUGAUCUACCUCUUAUUUACACAGUCAUACAUCAUUUCUCAAAAAAUGAAGUACAAAAAAACCAUGCCCAACAUGCCUGUUCUUUUUGUAAGACAGCUACUCAUGCUACUCCUCUUUUAGUAUAGCAAUCACCUACUGUAACAAUUUUCUCCCAUUUAAUAAAAAGCUUCUCUCAUUCAUAAAGCUGCUCUACCUCUCUCCACCCCCACAUUUCUUCCCCACACUUGAACAUUUACAUUACAGCCAACAGAUAAAGUAUAUGUUUAAGGGAUUUGAAAAGAUAAUUUGGUCCAUUAUGGCCACUCAAAAUGCCUCCAUAUUACAACUAUAUAAAAAUAUUAAUUCUCAACUAUCCAGUAUGGAGAUAAAAAUCUAUAAACAGAAACAGUUCAAUAUUUAAAUAAGCAAACAAAAAACCACAUGCCAUGACAUCAGAUUACAAAUAAUCAUAGAUUCCCUAGGCUAGAGUAAAAAAAACCAAACAACCCCCUCCAGAACAAACAAAUGCGACUUCAUUAAAAACAAGACAAAAAACCAAAUAGUCUAGUGGCUUAAAACAAUUAUCUUUAAAUUGUACUAAGCAGAAAAAAAAAAAUCCUGCAAUUCAUUGGGACAUUCAUUCCAAAUAUUGUAACACUAUUCCAGAAACCCGAGAUACUUCCAUUUCAGGAGAAAAAAAUUCAAACAAUUUUCACACAACAAAUGUUUUACUUUAUCAUAAUCAAUAACAAUAUAGUUUCCCCCUCCCCAGUAACAUGUACAUAGACUGAAAAUACUGCUGUAUUCACUGCUACUAAUCUAAAUGUGUUUUAAAAAGAACAGAUCAAAGUUUUUCUUCUUUGAUAAGCAAUUCUAGAUAAGUGAAACCUGAACUCUGACAAACGAGUGAAAGAUUUUUUUUUAUUGCAUUGUUCCAAGACAUUGUCACAGUCUGAAAAGCACCAUUAAAGUAAGAGCAUGAGUUAGAGCUGAUGAAUUUAUAUUGCUUUGUUUUAUUGCCCCAGACUCAUUCCAUCUUUGAUAAUUUUAAAGGCAGAGAA